rnacentral:rRNA from 1 species
AAUGAACGUUGGCGGCGUGGAUUAGGCAUGCAAGUCGAGCGGCAGCAGGCCCCGCACGGGGCGCUGGCGAGCGGCGAAAGGGAGAGUAAUGCGUGGGUACGUACCCCUGGGAUCAGGAUAGCGGCGGGAAACUGCCGGUAAUACUGAAUAACAUCUCAGGAUCAAAGGUGUGAUUCCGCCUGGGGAUCGGCCCGCGUCCUAUCAGCUAGUUGGCGAGGUAAUGGCUCACCAAGGCUAUGACGGGUACUGGGUGUGAGAGCAAGACCCAGCUCAAUGGGACUGAGAUACUGCCCAGACACCUACGGGUGGCUGCAGUCGAGAAUCUUCGGCAAUGGGGGAAAGCCUGACCGAGCGACGCCGCGUGCGGGAUGAGGGCGUUCGGGUUGUAAACCGCUGUCGUAGUGGAGGAAAUAUCAGGGGGUUCUCCCCUUGGUUUGACUGAUACUAGGAGGAAGGGUGGGCUAAGCUCGUGCCAGCCGCCGCGGUAAGAC